rnacentral:rRNA from 1 species
AACCUCCGCAAUGUGAGAAAUCGCGACGGGGGGAUCCCAAGUGCCAUUCUUAACGGGAUGGCUUUUCAUUAGUGUAAAGAGCUUUUGGAAUAAGAGCUGGGCAAGACCGGUGCCAGCCGCCGCGGUAACACCGGCAGCUCUAGUGGUAACAAUUUUUAUUGGGCCUAAAGCGUCCGUAGCCGGUUUAACAAGUCUCUGGUGAAAUCCUGUAGCUUAACUGUGGGAAUUGCUGGAGAUACUAUUAGACUUGAGACCGGGAGAGGUUAGAGGUACUCCCAGGGUAGAGGUGAAAUUCUGUAAUCCUGGGAGGACCGCCUGUUGCGAAGGCGUCUAACUGGAACGGUUCUGACGGUGAGGGACGAAAGUUAGGGGCGCGAACCGGAUUAGAUACCCGGGUAGUCCUAACUGUAAACGAUGCGGACUUGGUGUUGGGGUGGCUUUGAGCUGCUCCAGUGCCGAAGGGAAGCUGUUAAGUCCGCCGCCUGGGAAGUACGGUCGCAAGACUGAAACUUAAAGGAAUU